rnacentral:rRNA from 1 species
AUGCCGCUGCUCGCGCCGGGCCCGCGCGCGCUCUGCCGGGACCUCUACUGCGCCGCCUCGGCGCGGGAGCAGGCGGCCCCGGUCCCGUCCUCCGUGGCGGCGUGCUCGACCGUCGGCGGGGCGCUGUGGCGAGGCGGUGUUCGUGUGGCGAGGACGGGAGGAAGAGGGGUGAGGGCGGAGGCGGCCUACUUCUGGGACGCGUCGGUGCCGGUGGAGAUGGGCGAGAUCGACAGCAUGGACAAGCUCGACGCCGCGCUCGCCUCCUCCGCCGAGCAAAACCAGCCCAUCAUCAUCGACUGGAUGGCCAGCUGGUGCCGGAAAUGCAUUUACCUCAAGCCCAAGCUGGAGAAGAUAGCAGGAGAAUUUCCAGGAGUCAGGUUCUACUUUGUGGAUGUCAAUAAAGUUCCACAGGCCGUGGUGAAAAGAGGGAAUAUAAGCAAAAUGCCCACAAUUCAGUUGUGGAAGGAUGGAGAAUGGAAGGAGGAAGUGAUAGGAGGCCACAAAGCGUGGCUGGUGAUGGAUGAGGUUAGAGAGAUGAUCCAGAAGUACAAGUGA